rnacentral:rRNA from 1 species
AAGCGGUGGAGUAUGUGGCUUAAUUCGAGGCUACGCGCAGAACCUUAUCCCGGGCUUGACAUGCACGGAUUAGCCGGCGGAAACGCCGGCGAGGCCGCAAGGUACAACGUGCACAGGUGCUGCAUGGCUGUCGUCAGCUCGUGCCGUGAGGUGUUGGGUUAAGUCCCGUAACGAGCGAAACCCCUGUGUCUAGUUACCAGCACGUCGUGGUGGGAACUCUAGACAGACCGCCGGCGUCAAGCCGGAGGAAGGUGGGGAUG